GCCUGUUAUCAGCACAGCACAGGCAUGAAUGUGUUCUCAAUGCAAAUGAGGUGCCCUCGCGGCCUCGUGUCAACCCGUCUGCACAUUUGGAGUAAUGAAUACUCCGAGGGAGUUAAAAGAGAGAGAGCGAGAGAGGGGAGUCUGAGCUUGAUGACCCUGCAAGCCGAUUACAGGCCAUCCCGUGCUGCACACAAAGCCCUGUGAGGCCUUCUCAGCCUGCACCGUCGAAAACAACUGCAGCAAAGAGUCUGCAGACAAUAUGAACUGUCAUCGGCCUCACAAUGGUGAUUCACCAUAAAUGGUAAAUGGACUGUACUGCAUAGCGCUUUUCGACUCUUCUGACCACUCAAAGCGCUUUAAGACUACAUGACA